rnacentral:rRNA from 1 species
CAGCCGCCGCGGGAAUACGAAGGGGGCUAGCGUUGUUCGGAAUCACUGGGCGUAAAGGGUGCGUAGGCGGGCAUUUAAGUCAGGGGUGAAAUCCCGAGGCUCAACCUCGGAACUGCCCUUGAUACUGGAUGUCUUGAGUCCGGAAGAGGUGAGUGGAACUGCGAGUGUAGAGGUGAAAUUCGUAGAUAUUCGCAAGAACACCGGUGGCGAAGGCGGCUCACUGGUCCGGAACUGACGCUGAGGCACGACAGCGUGGGGAGCAAACAGGAUUAGAUACCCCAGUAGUCCCUGUCUCUUAUAC